CUGGCCGUGUACUCCCAGAUGGCGUCCGGGUCGAGCAGGGCGUGGUCGCCGAAGUAGGCGCCGUCGGCGAGGACGCCGAGGACCGCGUCGUCGCCGUAGGGACCGGUGCCGACCUUCUCGACCCUGCCGUGCGCGAGGAGGAAGACCUCGUCGGCCGGGCUGCCGAACGAGGAGAGGACCUCCCCCGCCGCGAACUCGCGCUGCUGGCAGCGCUGCGCGAGCCUCUCCAGUACCUCCUGGUCCUCGAAGCCCCGCAGCAGCGGGAGUUCGCCCAGUUCCGCGGGGACGACCUCCACCCGGUCCGCGGUCUUCACAAAGGUCACCCGGCCGUCGCCGACCGAAUAACUCAGUCGCCGGUUCACGCGAUACGUACCGCCCUGCACGUUCACCCACGGCAGCGUGUGCAGCAGCCAGCGUGAGCUGAUCUCCUGCAUCUGCGGCGCGGACUUCGUGGUGGUGGCCAGAUUCCGCGCGGCCGAUGUACCGAGACUCUGCUGCGGCUUGG
rnacentral:antisense_RNA from 1 species